UUUAAUUUGAGAGUUUGAUCCUGGCUCAGGAUGAACGCUGGCGGCGUGUCUAAGGCAUGCAAGUCGAGGGACGGCUUACCUUCGGGUAAGUACGGACCGGCAAACGGGAGAGUAACACAUUGGUAACCUACCUCUGAGUCGGGGAUAGCUCAUCGAAAGAUGGAUUAAUACCCGAUAGUCAUAAAGAGAUAUAAAGUUUUUUUAUGUAAACUUUUUGGCUCAGAGAGGGGCCUAUGUCUGAUUAGCUAGUUGGUGAGGUAAUGGCUCACCAAGGCAAUGAUCAGUACCGGGCGUGAGAGCGUGACCCGGCUCACUGGGACUGAGAACGGCCCAGACUCCUACGGGAGGCUGCAGUCAAGAAUAUUCCACAAUGCACGAAAGUGUGAUGGAGCGACGCCGCGUGUAGGAAGACGCCCUUCGGGGUGUAAACUACUUUUAUGUGGGAAGAAUUUGUGACGGUACCACAUGAAUAAGAGGGUGCUAACUCUGUGCCAGCAGCAGCGGUAAUACGAGGGCCCCAAGCGUUAUCCGGAUUUAUUGGGUGUAAAGCG
rnacentral:rRNA from 1 species